GCAAGGGUAGUUUAAUGGUAGAAUUCUAGGUUGCCAUGCAGGAGACGCAGGUUCAAUUCUUGGCCUGUGCA
rnacentral:tRNA from 1 species